rnacentral:lncRNA from 12 species
AUGUUAAAAUCGCGAAAAGGUUGUGGGAUUUACAGGGAUACCCUAAAUAGGGAUGCCAGGGAUCGGUAUGUGGACAAAAUCGGCACGAUUAACGGUUUGGAUCCAUAUGAAAUUCCCAACAAAGAGUGGAGCACCGACGACGACUUGCUGCCGAACUUUUCCAUUCCAGAUAUCUUCGGCUAUCUUGUUUGUUUUGUUAGCGCCUACACUUCUGAUCAGUUCAGAAGCUACAAAUCACUGGAGUCGCAUGUGCAGUUCACCAACGGAUGGGUUCAGGAGCUGCAGAUAUUAAAGCCGGCAAACAGUGGGAAUACAGUAAUCCGGACAAAGGUUUUGCACUCUCAACGCAUCAAUGAGACUCCUCUGAAGCCAUGGGUCAUCAUUGCCAAUGAUGGCCAGGUUUGCUGUGCACACUGUACAUGCAUGGCUGGCAUUGCAGAGUCAUGUACACAUGUUGGGGCUUUACUAUUUAAGAUUGAGGCAGCAGUCCGCAUCCGCGGAAAAAAAACUGUAACAGAUGUGCCUGCUUACUGGAAGAUUCCAUCUGCAAUUAACAAAGUCCACGGAGAGGUUGCCUACAAGAUGGACUUUACUUCUGCUAAAGCUCAGAGGAUUGCUCUGGACAGAGUCAUCAAUGACAACAGUCCCAUGCCUGGCCUACGGACGCGAGCCAGCAGACACAUACCCCAAGCCACAUUGGACGACUUGUCGUCACUGCUCCCUGUUCUCCAUAAACAUAGGGCAGUUUGUAUGUCGACAAUGGACACCUACUAUCACGACUACGCUGACACUGUCCAGCCAGCUGUAAUGCCAAAACCCCUGAAAGACCGUCUGCGUGACCCACAGUUUGAUCAUGCUCCACUAUCUGUCCUUCUCCAGCACUGUGAGACAGUGAAAGACAUUGCAGCUGUGACAAAGGAACAAGCCGACAUCAUCAGCACACACCAAGCAGCAGCAUAAGUCAUCUGCCUGGUAUGGAGUACGGGCAGGGAGAGUAACUGCAUCAGCUAUGCAUGCAGUUGUUGUUUUCAACAUUGAGAAGCCGGCUGUGUCCACGGUGAGAAAAUUGUGCUACCCAACAGCCCUGUUGACUACACAAGACACAAGAUGGGGAAUUGAGCAUGAGGAGACUGCAAGGAGUGCUUUUCAGGCCAAACAAGCACCACACCACACUGACCUGAAAAUUGAGCAGUGUGGAUUCUGCGUCAACCCUGGGUUUCCAGAAGUAGGCGCCUCACCCGAUGGAUUACUUCACUGUAUCUGCUGUGGGAAAGGCUGCCUGGAAAUAAAGUGUCCAUCAAAGCACAAGAAUACCACUGUCCAGGAGGCUUGUGAUGGUGACAGUGACUUCUGUCUCCAACUUGUGGACAACAUAUUUCAACUUAAACAAGGCCACAGAUACUACACACAGGUGCAGACACAGAUCUUUGUGACUGAGUCCAAAUAUUGUGCCUUUGUAGUGUGGACACAGAAAGAUCUAGUUGUUGUCCGAGUCAUGCCAGAUGUCAAGUUCUGGGAGUCAUGUCUGCAGAAGGCACAGGAAUUUUUUCUGAAGGUUUCCCUCCCUGAGCUCAUUUGCCACCACUACACACAAGAUGCCUCCACACCAGAGCCCUCAAGAGUUAUGGCUGUGAAAUCUUGUAACACUUUAACAGUCCCACAAGUAAGAGGGCAAAAGAGAGCGAGGAAGAGGACCACAGAAAAUAAAGAGAAUAUGUGGUGCGUGUGCCAAGGGCCUGAGGGACUGGAUGACAUGGUUGCAUGCGACAACAAGAACUGUGCGACUGAGUGGUUCCACCUUUCCUGUGUUGGACUUGAUGCAACCACUGCAGCAAGUGACUCCUGGUUUUGUGAUGCAUGUCUUUAGUCACAGCUGUCCAAAGACAUAUAUUGUAUGUUAUAUUUACAUAUGUUAUAUAUUGUAUAGAUACCUAUUUAUUUAUAGAAUUGAAAGAAAUAAGAAAUGUGUAUUUGUUAUUAUUAUUAUUAUUACGUAAGAAAUUGCACUAUAAUUGCACUAGAAAUUUACUAUAUUUAUAAUUUGCAAUACCUCCAUUUUUUGUGUCCAUUGUAGUUAUUUCAUAGAUACCUAUUUAUUUAUAGUAUUGAAAGAAUUUAUAAAAAAUGUGUAUUUAUUACUGUUAUAAAAGAAAUUGCGCACUUUUCUAUGUCCAUUGUUUUAUUUGUAACCUUUUACCUUGAAGCAUUCCAACUGCACUACACCGUUCUGUGUUCUCAGGUUGCACUACUUGCAAAUAAACACUGA